GAGUUGAUGUUUUAGGGUUUAGAUUUGAAGGUUUAGAGUUUUAGGGUUUAGGGUUUAUGUUUAGGGUUUAGGGUUUACGUUUAAGAUUUAGAGUUGAUGUUUUAGGGUUUAGAUUUGAAGGUUUAGGGUUUUAGGGUUUAGGGUUCGAAUUUGAGAAAAAUAUAGGGUUUAGCAAGGUUCUAAAAAUCGGUCUAGGCGGCGCCUAGGCCCCCGCCUAGGCAGCAACUCGGUCCUAUCCGAAAUGAUUUUCUUAAAAUCCGAUUUAUACCGAUUUAUAUGAUUCAAAUUGGUUUAAACUGUUCUAAAUCGGUUAAAAUUGGUUAAAAUCAAUCUAAAAUUGUCUAUAUAUGUUAAAUAAAGCAAUAAUAUUAUUACAAAUCUACAAAUUUGUCUACUUUCUUCUGUUUUGUAUAUCUAAUUUUGAUAAUUCAUCACAAUAAUUUUAUAAUUAAACUUAAAAACUAAAAUAUGUUAUACAAAUGUAUAGAAUAUAUAAAAUAAAUCAACAAUUUGCUAACGCGUAGGCCCCGAAUAAUCCGCCUAGUCGCUAGUCCUCUAUAAAGCGCCUAGUUACCGCCUAGCGAUUUUUAGAACAUUGGGGUUUAGGGUUUAGGGUUUACGUUUAGGGUUUAGAGCUGAUGUUUUAGGUUUUAGAUUUGAAGUUUUAGGGUUUAGAGUUGAUGUUUCGGGGUUUAGGGUUUAGUGUUGAUGUUUCAUGGUUAAGGGUUUAGAGUUGUUGAUCUAGGGUUUAAAGUUGAUGUUUUAAGUUUAGAUUUAGGGUUUAGGGUUUACGUUUAGGGUUUAGAGUUGAUGUUUUAGGGUUUAGAUUUGACGGUUUAGGGUUUAGAGUUGAUGUUUCAGGGUUUAGGGUAUCUAUAAAGCGCCUAGUUACCGCCUAGCGAUUUUUAGAACAUUGGGGUUUAGGGUUUAGGGUUUACGUUUAGGGUUUAGAGCUGAUGUUUUAGGUUUUAGAUUUGAAGUUUUAGGGUUUAGAGUUGAUGUUUCGGGGUUUAGGGUUUAGUGUUGAUGUUUCAUGGUUAAGGGUUUAGAGUUGUUGAUCUAGGGUUUAAAGUUGAUGUUUUAAGUUUAGAUUUAGGGUUUAGGGUUUACGUUUAGGGUUUAGAGUUGAUGUUUUAGGGUUUAGAUUUGACGGUUUAGG
rnacentral:lncRNA from 1 species